rnacentral:piRNA from 1 species
UAGUAGAUGUGUCUGUGUGACUCCCAAA